rnacentral:rRNA from 1 species
CAGCAGCCGCGGUAAUACGGAGGGGGCUAGCGUUGUUCGGAAUUACUGGGCGUAAAGCGCACGUAGGCGGCUUGGUAAGUUAGAGGUGAAAGCCUGGAGCUCAACUCCAGAAUUGCCUUUAAGACUGCCGAGCUAGCAGGUGAGAGAGGGUUGUGGAAUUCCCAGUGUAGAGGUGAAAUUCGUAGAUAUUGGGAAGAACACCGGUGGCGAAGGCGGCAACCUGGUCCAUUACUGACGCUGAGGCGCGAAAGCGUGGGGAGCAAACAGGAUUAGAUACCCGCGUAGUCCCUGUCUCUUAUAC